rnacentral:SRP_RNA from 1 species
UAUAAAAGCCGUACAUUGUCGGAUCUGCGAUGCAGUGUUGAAGCUUGGUCUUGCGCAAUGGGAAUCUACGAACCGUGUCAGGUUGGGAACAAAGCAGCACUAAGUAGAACCUCUCAUGUGCCGUAAGGGUGCCGGGUGGAGCUGUAUUUGCAGCCGGCGUGUGCGGUCUUUGUA